GAGUUUGAUCAUGGCUCAAAUUGAACGCUAGCGGCAAGCUUAACACAUGCAAGUCGGACGGCAGCGAGAAAAAGAAUUUAUUCUUUUUUGUCGGCGAGUGGCGAACGGGUGAGUAAAAUCUGGGGAUCUGCCUAACGGAGGGGGAUAACCACUGGAAACGGUGGCUAAUACCGCGUAAAGUUAAUUUUUAACCAAAGCGGGGGCUUGUAAAACCUCGCGCCAUUAGAUGAACCCAGAGGAGAUUAGCUAGUAGGUAGGGUAAUUGCCUACCUAGGCAACGAUCUCUAGCUGGUCUGAGAGGAUGACCAGCCACACUGGAACUGAGACACGGUCCAGACUCCUAAGGGAGGCAGCAGUGGGGAAUAUUGCACAAUGGGCGAAAGCCUGAUGCAGCUAUGUCGCGUGUACGAAGAAGGCCUUCGGGUUGUAAAGUACUUUCAGCGAGAAAGAAAGUGUGGUACCUAAUACGUAUUGCAAUUGACGUUACUCGCAAAAGAAGCACCGGCUAACUCCGUGCCAGCAGCCGCGGUAAUACGGAGGGUGCAAGCGUUAAUCGGAAUUACUGGGCGUAAAGCGCACGUAGGUGGUUUAUUAAGUCAGAUGUGAAAUCCCUGGGCUCAACCUAGGAACUGCAUUUGAAACUAAUAAACUUGAGUUUCAUAGAGAGGGGUAGAAUUCCAGGUGUAGCGGUGAAAUGCGUAGAGAUCUGGAGGAAUACCAGUGGCGAAGGCGGCCCCCUGGAUGACAACUGACACUCAGGUGCGAAAGCGUGGGGAGCAAACAGGAUUAGAUACCCUGGUAGUCCACGCCGUAAACGAUGUCGACUUGGAGGUUGCAAGCUUGACUAGCAACUCCCGAAGCUAACGCGUUAAGUCGACCGCCUGGGGAGUACGACCGCAAGGUUAAAACCCAAAUGAAUUGACGGGGGCCCGCACAAGCGGUGGAGCAUGUGGUUUAAUUCGAUGAAACGCGAAGAACCUUACCUGGGUUUGACAUCCAUAGAAUUUAACAGAAAUGUUUUAUUGCCUUCGGGAACUAUGAGACAGGUGCUGCAUGGCUGUCGUCAGCUCGUGUUGUGAAAUGUUGGGUUAAGUCCCGCAACGAGCGCAACCCUUAUCCUUUAUUGCCAGCGAUUCGGUCGGGGACUUAAAGGAGACUGCCGGUGAUAAACCGGAGGAAGGUGGGGAUGACGUCAAGUCAUCAUGGCCCUUACAUCCAGGGCUACACACGUGCUACAAUGGCGUACACAAAGAGAAGCAAUAUCGUAAGAAGGAGCAAAACUUUAAAAUACGUCACAGUCCGGAUUGGAGUCUGCAACUCGACUUCAUGAAGUCGGAAUCGCUAGUAAUCGUGGAUCAGAAUGCCACGGUGAAUACGUUCCUGGGCCUUGUACACACCGCCCGUCACACCAUGGAAGUGAGUGGCAAAAGAAGCGAGUAGCUUAACUUUUACGAGAGAGCGCUCACCACUUUGUGAUUCAUAACUGGGGUGAAGUCGUAACAAGGUAACC
rnacentral:rRNA from 1 species